GGAGCAAACAGGAGGUUUCCACGUCACCUCAUGCCAUCCUCACCACAGCCCCGGGGGCGCUUCCCCGACAAGCAACCGGAGACCAAGAGGGCUGGAGCACUGGCCAAGAACUGGAGGACGUUCACUCGUGGAGCCGGUGGGGCCUCGCUUCCUGACGUAGGAGGGUCUCGGACAGCAGUGGGUCGAAAUGAGCGCCUGGAGCCUCAGAUCCAAGACAGACGCUUCCAUGAUCUGGCAACCAGAUGGUGCUGGGAGGUGACUGUGGGAGCCCUGGAGGAGGGGCCUUGUGAUGCAUAGCAACUGUGAGGUAGGGGCCGCUUGGCUGCUUGCAAGGCCCUGGGGAGCCAGAGCGCAGUGACUUCCGAGACGCUAGCAUCCCACGACAGGUACUGCGGCUUCCUGCCACCGUGCACCUUCUCCAAGCACCACAGGGACGCAAAACCUCCCGCCCUCGUCCGCUGAGGUUCAGAGCCGGGGAGGAGGCUGCUACAGUGCCAGGUUCUGCCUUUUUAUCUUUCGGAGCCCCGUUCCCCGGGCCACACGGAGACCGCGGACCCAACUCCGGGAAUUCAGGAAAAGCUGAAAACGAAGUCCCUCAGGGUCACUUCUGGCAUCAGCCUUCAGCUGCGAGCCUGAACAUCGCCUCCUUUUGCCUCGAGAAAGACAGUUCCCCGGAGAGCCGUGCUGCCAGCGAAGCGGAAAGGAGAGCAGAGGUGGGGCGCCCCGCGCGCCAGGCGGAGGGGCUGCGGGACCCCCGGGCCGCGCCGCAGGGCGCAGGUUGCGCGAGCGCAGCGGCAUCAGCACAGGACCCGCUUGCCGGCAUUGCUUCCGGACGGAUUCGGAAAAGUCAGGUGAAGCAAACUGAAAACUUCCAGAGGGCUGGAAGUGCCUUUCACUUGUUUUUUAAAGACAGGGUGUUUUAAAGAUUAUUUACCCAAGUUUCCAAGUUAGUAUUAGAAUUCAUUAUGAACCCGCGAAACUGGCACCUGAAGAGCCGCACCGGCGGUUCACGCCGGGCCUGCUCUGCACGGCGUCCUUGCUGACUCUCCGCUACGUCCUAGUCACGCGUCGUGUCGGGGGCUUUCUGGCUACUUACUGCAUCAUAGGCGCUUUCUGUCACAGUCUUCAUUCUAUACGAAUGAGUAAAGUAUUCGUUAUACGUUAAUAUUCCAACCACUGAAUGCAUCAUAAAAACAGUCAUUUUUCGUUUUUUGGUUACUUAGCUUGUUUCCAAUUUCUAU